AAAGUACCUGCUGGGAUCUACCGCAGGAAUUCUCAGUUUUCAAAAUUCAUACUUGUCUGGGCUCUACCACUCAGGUUCUAAAAGUACCUGUUGGGAUCUACCGCAGGAAUUCUCAGUUUUCAAAAUUCAUACUUGUCUGGGCUCUACCACUCAGGUUCUAAAAGUACCUGUUGGGAUCUACCGCAGGAAUUCUCAGUUUUCAAAAUUCAUACUUGUCUGGGCUCUACCACUCAGGUUCUAAAAGUACCUGUUGGGAUCUACCGCAGGAAUUCUCAGUUUUCAAAAUUCAUACUUGUCUGGGCUCUACCACUCAGGUUCUAAAAGUACCUGUUGGGAUCUACCGCAGGUAUUCUCAUUUUUCAAAUUUAUACCUGUCUGGGUUCUACCAGUCAGGUUCUAAAAUAAAUUUUUCACCUGUCAGGGCUCUACUGCAGGUUCUUAAAAUUGCAUAAUUUAGGCAUUUUAUUUUUUAAUUAAUUUAAAAUUAUGUUGAGUAGGUAAUGUUUUUGAUUUGAUUAUUUUAAUUAGUAUUAUUGUAAGUUUUAAUGAGUAGCCCCCUAGAAAGCCAAAUGAUACAUUUAUUAUUAUUUUCAUAUGUAUUCAGUAUAAUAGAUUUAGAACUGAUUGUGAAUAUGAUACUAGUAUACUGUGUAUACAAUGGUGUCUUAGUAUAUUAGUUUGUUAAUAAAAUUAGAAUAGUUA